rnacentral:rRNA from 1 species
UAGGGGAUAUUGGGGAAUGGGCGCAAGCCUGACCCAGCAACGCCGCGUGUGCGAUGAAGGCCUUCGGGUUGUAAAGCACUUUUCUACGGGAAGAGGAAGGACAGUACUGUAGGAAUAAGUCUCGGCUAACUACGUGCCAGCAGCCGCGGUAACACGUAGGAGACGAGCGUUAUCCGGAUUUACUGGGUGUAAAGCGCGUGCAGGCGGGCUGGUAAGUUGGAUGUAAAAGCUCCCGGCUAAACUGGGAGAGGUCGUUCAAGACUGCCGGUCUAGAGUGCAGGAGAGGGGAGUGGAAUUCCGAGUGUAGCGGUAAAAUGCACAGAUAUUCGGAAGAACACCAGUGGCGAAGGCGGCUCUCUGGGCUGCAACUGACGCCUCAGACGACGAAAGCGUAGGGUAGACGGAACGGGUAUUAGACGGACCCCGGUAGUCCUACGACCGUAAACGAGUGUGGACGUAGGGCGGUGGGGCGGGUUAGAAACGUCCGUCUGUCGGCCGGAGACGAAACGCGAAUAACGUCCCACCACCGGU